rnacentral:pre_miRNA from 9 species
UCCCGAUAGCGUAAAAGUUCACUCAAAUUUCUACGGAGUCGGACCAUUUGCCUACGUUCGCCGCUAGGGGCGCUGUUCCGACUGUAUACAAAUUUUAGUUAACUUUUACGUUAUCGA